UAAUCGGGAUUACUGGGGCGUAAAAGCGCACGCAGGCGGUCUGUCAAGUCGGAUGUGAAAUCCCCGGGCUCAACCUGGGAACUGCAUUCGAAACUGGCAGGCUAGAGUCUUGUAGAGGGGGGUAGAAUUCCAGGUGUAGCGGUGAAAUGCGCAGAGAUCUGGAGGAAUACCGGUGGCGAAGGCGGCCCCCUGGACAAAGACUGACGCUCAGGUGCGAAAGCGUGGGGAGCAAACAGGAUUAGAUACCCUGGUAGUCCACGCCGUAAACGAUGUCGACUUGGAGGUUGUGCCCUUGAGGCGUGGCUUCCGGAGCUAACGCGUUAAGUCGACCGCCUGGGGAGUACGGCCGCAAGGUUAAAACUCAAAUGAAUUGACGGGGGCCCGCACAAGCGGUGGAGCAUGUGGUUUAAUUCGAUGCAACGCGAAGAACCUUACCUACUCUUGACAUCCAGAGAACUUUCCAGAGAUGGAUUGGUGCCUUCGGGAACUCUGAGACAGGUGCUGCAUGGCUGUCGUCAGCUCGUGUUGUGAAAAUGUUGGGUUAAGUCCCGCAACGAGCGCAACCCUUAUCCUUUGUUGCCAGCGGGUCCGGCCGGGAACUCAAAGGAGACUGCCAGUGAUAAACUGGAGGAAGGUGGGGAUGACGUCAAGGUCAUCAUGGCCCUUACGAGUAGGGCUACACACGUGCUUACAAUGGCGCAUACAAAGAGAAAGCGACCUCGCGAGAGCAAGCGGACCUCAUAAAGUGCGUCGUA
rnacentral:rRNA from 1 species